rnacentral:rRNA from 1 species
CAGCCGCCACGGUAAUACGUAGGUGGCAAGCGUUGUCCGGAAUUAUUGGGCGUAAAGCGUGCGCAGGCGGUUUUGUAAGACAGGCGUGAAACCCCCGGGCUCAACCUGGGAAUGGCGCUUGUGACUGCAAAGCUAGAGUGCGGCAGAGGGGGAUGGAAUUCCGCGUGUAGCAGUGAAAUGCGUAGAUAUGCGGAGGAACACCGAUGGCGAAGGCAAUCCCCUGGGCCUGCACUGACGCUCAUGCACGAAAGCGUGGGGAGCAAACAGGAUUAGAUACCCCAGUAGUCCCUGUCUCUUAUAC